rnacentral:rRNA from 1 species
UACGUAGGGCGCAAGCGUUUGUCCGGAAUUAUUGGGCGUAAAGAGCUCGUAGGCGGUUUGUCGCGUCUGCUGUGAAAAUCCGGGGCUCAACCCCGGACUUGCAGUGGGUACGGGCAGACUAGAGUGUGGUAGGGGAGACUGGAAUUCCUGGUGUAGCGGUGAAAUGCGCAGAUAUCAGGAGGAACACCGAUGGCGAAGGCAGGUCUCUGGGCCACUACUGACGCUGAGGAGCGAAAGCGUGGGGAGCGAACAGG